AUUGAACGCUGGCGGUAGGCCUAACACAUGCAAGUCGAACGGCAGCACAGGAGAGCUUGCUCUCUGGGUGGCGAGUGGCGGACGGGUGGGGAAUACAUCGGAAUCUACUCUGUCGUGGGGGAUAACGUAGGGAAACUUACGCUAAUACCGCAUACGACCUACGGGUGAAAGCAGGGGACCUUCGGGCCUUGCGCGAUUGAAUGAGCCGAUGUCGGAUUAGCUAGUUGGCGGGGUAAAGGCCCACCAAGGCGACGAUCCGUAACUGGUCUGAGAGGAUGAUCAGCCACACUGGAACUGAGACACGGUCCAGACUCCUACGGGAGGCAGCAGUGGGGAAUAUUGGACAAUGGGCGCAAGCCUGAUCCAGCCAUACCGCGUGGGUGAAGAAGGCCUUCGGGUUGUAAAGCCCUUUUGUUGGGAAAGAAAUCCAGCUGGCUAAUACCCGGUUGGGAUGACGGUACCCAAAGAAUAAGCACCGGCUAACUUCGUGCCAGCCGCCGCCGUAA
rnacentral:rRNA from 1 species